UACGAAGGGGGCUAGCGUUGCUCGGAAUCACUGGGCGUAAAGCGCACGUAGGCGGAUUGCUAAGUCAGGGGUGAAAUCCUGGAGCUCAACUCCAGAACUGCCUUUGAUACUGGCGACCUUGAGUCCGGGAGAGGUGAGUGGAACUGCGAGUGUAGAGGUGAAAUUCGUAGAUAUUCGGAAGAACACCAGUGGCGAAGGCGGCUCACUGGACCGGUAUUGACGCUGAGGUGCGAAAGCGUGGGGAGCAAACAGG
rnacentral:rRNA from 1 species